rnacentral:rRNA from 1 species
UACGUAGGGUGCAAGCGUUUGUCCGGAAUUAUUGGGCGUAAAGAGCUCGUAGGCGGUCUGUCACGUCGGCUGUGAAAACCCGAGGCUCAACCUCGGGCCUGCAGUCGAUACGGGCAGACUAGAGGUAUGCAGGGGAGAACGGAAUUCCUGGUGUAGCGGUGAAAUGCGCAGAUAUCGAGGAGGAACACCGGUGGCGAAGGCGGUUC